rnacentral:rRNA from 1 species
UCGGGAAUUUUGGGCAAUGGGCGAAAGCCUGACCCAGCAACGCCGCGUGAAGGAUGAAGUAUUUCGGUAUGUAAACUUCGAAAGAAUAGGAAGAAUAAAUGACGGUACUAUUUAUAAGGUCCGGCUAACUACGUGCCAGCAGCCGCGGUAAUACGUAGGGACCAAGCGUUGUUCGGAUUUACUGGGCGUAAAGGGCGCGUAGGCGGUGUGUCAAGUCAGUUGUGAAAUCUCCGAGCUUAACUCGGAACGGUCAACUGAUACUGUCACACUAGAGUACAGAAGGGGCAAUCGGAAUUCUUGGUGUAGCGGUGAAAUGCGUAGAUAUCAAGAGGAACACCUGAGGCGAAGGCGGCCACCUGGUUGGAUACUGACGCUGAGACGCGAAAGCGUGGGGAGCAAACAGGAUUAGAUACCCCGGUAGUCCCUGAGCGGGCUGGCAAGGCGCAU